UUUAUUUAUUGAGUCCUUUCAUAACAGCAGAGCUUUGAUGAGUUUGAGCUGAUGGAAGGAGGAUCAGGAAUAGAGUAGAGGACCUGCUGAUCUACUGGUUCUAGUAGAUUUUAUAAAUGCAUCACUGAGACAAGACAACAGCGCUGGACCAAUCAGGAGAGAGAAGACACAGAGGACUGAAGGGACACAGAAAAUCCUGAGAUGAAGUUUCCUGAUGCAACGGGGGGACACCUGAGGACACAGAAUAAAGAGACAGACAUCAUGUUGGAUGUCCUCAGCCGGUAAACCUCCACCUUCAACACCACCAGUCAGAUGGAGGAAGAUAAGAGAACCCUGUUGACAAAAAAA